GACGUAGGUGGCGAACGUUAUCCGGAAUUAUUGGGCGUAAAGGGCGCGUAGGCGGCCUGGCAAGUGGAAGGUGAAAUCCCUCGGCUUAACCGAGGAACUGCCCUCCAAACUGCUUGGCUUGAGACCGGGAGAGGUGAGUGGAAUUCCCAGUGUAGCGGUGAAAUGCGUAGAUAUUGGGAGGAACACCAGUGGCGAAGGCGGCUCACUGGACCGGUACUGACGCUGAUGCGCGAAAGCGUGGGAGCAAACGGG
rnacentral:rRNA from 1 species